UCUGGGUCCAACCUCCCACCCGUGUUUAUUUUACCUUGUUGCUUCGGCGGGCCCGCCUUAACUGGCCGCCGGGGGGCUUACGCCCCCGGGCCCGCGCCCGCCGAAGACACCCUCGAACUCUGUCUGAAGAUUGUAGUCUGAGUGAAAAUAUAAAUUAUUUAAAACUUUCAACAACGGAUCUCUUGGUUCCGGCAUCGAUGAAGAACGCAGCGAAAUGCGAUACGUAAUGUGAAUUGCAAAUUCAGUGAAUCAUCGAGUCUUUGAACGCACAUUGCGCCCCCUGGUAUUCCGGGGGGCAUGCCUGUCCGAGCGUCAUUUCUGCCCUCAAGCACGGCUUGUGUGUUGGGCCCCGUCCUCCGAUCCCGGGGGACGGGCCCGAAAGGCAGCGGCGGCACCGCGUCCGGUCCUCGAGCGUAUGGGGCUUUGUCACCCGCUCUGUAGGCCCGGCCGGCGCUUGCCGAUCAACCCAAAUUUUUAUCCAGGUUGACCUCGGAUCA
rnacentral:misc_RNA from 1 species